rnacentral:rRNA from 1 species
GACAUAGGUCGCAAACGUUAUCCGGAAUUAUUGGGCGUAAAGGAUGCGUAGAUGGUUCAAUAAAGUUACUGGUGGGAAAUCGAGGCUCAACCUCGUGGAAGUCAGUAAUACUGUUGAACUUGAGUGCAGGAGAGGUUAACGGAACUUUAUGUGGAGCGGUAAAAUGCGUAGAUAUAUGAAAAGAACAUCAAAUAUGGCGAAGGCAGUUAAACUAUUCUGUUACUGACGUUUGAGG